AUGAACGCUAGCGACAGGCUUAACACAUGCAAGUCGAGGGGCAUCAUGAGGUAGCAAUACCUUGAUGGCGACCGGCGCACGGGUGAGUAACGCGUAUGCAACCUGCCUGAUACCGGGGUAUAGCCCAUGGAAACGUGGAUUAACACCCCAUAGUACUUUUAUCCUGCAUGGGAUGUGAGUUAAAUGUUUAAGGUAUCGGAUGGGCAUGCGUCCUAUUAGUUAGUUGGCGGGGUAACAGCCCACCAAGACGAUGAUAGGUAGGGGUUCUGAGAGGAAGGUCCCCCACAUUGGAACUGAGACACGGUCCAAACUCCUACGGGAGGCAGCAGUGAGGAAUAUUGGUCAAUGGACGAGAGUCUGAACCAGCCAAGUCGCGUGAGGGAAGACUGCCCUAUGGGUUGUAAACCUCUUUUAUAAGGGAAGAAUAAGUUCUACGUGUAGAAUGAUGCCUGUACCUUAUGAAUAAGCAUCGGCUAACUCCGUGCCAGCAGCCGCGGUAAUACGGAGGAUGCGAGCGUUAUCCGGAUUUAUUGGGUUUAAAGGGUGCGUAGGCGGUUUAUUAAGUUAGUGGUUAAAUAUUUGAGCUAAACUCAAUUGUGCCAUUAAUACUGGUAAACUGGAGUACAGACGAGGUAGGCGGAAUAAGUUAAGUAGCGGUGAAAUGCAUAGAUAUAACUUAGAACUCCGAUAGCGAAGGCAGCUUACCAGACUGUAACUGACGCUGAUGCACGAGAGCGUUGGUAGCUAACAGGAUUAGAUACCCUGGUAGUCCACGCCGUAAACGAUGCUCACUGGUUCUGUGCGAUAUAUUGUACGGGAUUAAGCGAAAGUAUUAAGUGAGCCACCUGGGGAGUACGUCGGCAACGAUGAAACUCAAAGGAAUUGACGGGGGCCCGCACAAGCGGUGGAGCAUGUGGUUUAAUUCGAAGCAACGCGAAGAACCUUACCAGGGCUUGACAUCCAACUAACGAAGCAGAGAUGCAUUAGGUGCCCUUCGGGGAAAGUUGAGACAGGUGGUGCAUGGUUGUCGUCAGCUCGUGUCGUGAGAUGUUGGGUUAAGUCCCGCAACGAGCGCAACCCCCGUCCCGUGUUGCCAGCAUUGAGUUGGGGACUCGCGGGAGACUGCCGGCGUCAAGCCGGAGGAAGGUGGGGACGACGUCAAGUCAUCAUGCCCCUUAUGCCCUGGGCUGCACACGUGCUACAAUGGCCGGUACAGAGGGCCGCUACCAGGUGACUGGAUGCCAAUCUCAAAAGCCGGUCGUAGUUCGGAUUGGAGUCUGUAACCCGACUCCAUGAAGUUGGAUUCGCUAGUAAUCGCGCAUCAGCCAUGGCGCGGUGAAUACGUUCCCGGGCCUUGUACACACCGCCCGUCAAGCCAUGGAAGCCGGGGGUGCCUGAAGUCCGUAACCGCGAGGAUCGGCCUAGGGCAAAACUGGUAACUGGGGCU
rnacentral:rRNA from 1 species